CCCUCUGCUCCCCGCCACCUUCUCCUGGCAAUACAACAAUGAACCCGUGGCGUCUGGCCAACCGGACAGUGGGGUGUUCAGCCUCCAGACCUUCUCCACCAACCAGAGCGGCCAAUACAAGUGCGUGGCUAGCAACGCCUUCACGGGCACGACGUCGGAGCAGGGGACGGACCUGGCAAUCGUGGUGCAGGGGCAGUGGCGGACAUAGUGAUUGGCUGUGUGGUCGCUCUGAUCUUAAUCAUCAAAGCCAUCAUACUCCUGGUGUGCCCUAGGAGAGCAGACCCACCAAGGGAGGCCUAGGCACUGAGAGAUGCCAACGGACACACACACACCAGCAACUGACAAGAGGAGAAACACGAAGCAUGGAUGACUAUGGGAGCCCCACUCUAAAGCAAUGGAGACCAAGCAAAAACACACACAUGCGAGUGCGCACACACACACACACACACACACACACACACACACACACACACACACACACACACACACACACACACACACACACACACACACACACACACUCCAUCACACACACUUCCUGCAGUCGACUCCCCCUGUCUGUCAAGUGAAUGUUAUCUGUUGAUUUUCAAAAGUACCAACAAUGACUCACUGGAAAACUCACACAGAUGUAUUAUUUCUGAAGCACCACAUAACCAGAUAGUAGGAAUGAUAAAAGGGCCUUAUUGAGGCGAGACACUUCAGGCCGUGUGUACGUGGCCUCUCCCAUUCAGCGUGUUCAGAGAGAGAAUGAGACACUACUACAACAAUGAGGACUUGAGAUGUUUGCAUUUUAAUGUCUUUGUGUGUGUUGCUCCUUGUGACUAGAAUGAACAGUAAAAGGGAAAGAUAAAGAGAGCCCUUGCUGGACGGAUUCCAGUUGAUUGAAUGGACUUGGCCCCUGGGAAACUACUGUGUGAGAAUUCUGAAGGAAAAACCCCCUCUGUGACUUGCUUUAUUUAAUAUUUCCAUGGAAGUAUUUAUGUGGAGCCUUUCUGUUUACAGAUGCUUCUCUUGACACCGCUCAAUUAACAGGAUUCGACUCGGUGCCUCGACUUCGGAAGCAAUGCUCAACUAACUAUGAAGGAGACCCCACAAAUGGAUGGGCCGCUUAUUAAUUAAGAGCUUUUAUGCGACUUAAAUGACUCGGAAAAUAACAACGCCCAUGCGUGGAAGAGGUCAGACAGAGAAGCUGCUGAGCUGCCAUGUUUCCCCUGACUAAGCAAAGCUAAACAAUUUGCUCGGGGACUACGAUGCUCUUUUGUGUGGGGCAUUGGCAAAUGAAAAGUGAUCUCCUUUGGACAAAAUCUUAGCUUUCUUUGGAACAAAAUGUGUAUUUAAUAUUUUUAUUUUUCUGUUACGUGGUAAAUAUGUUGGACUGCCAUUGCAAUAUGUGUCUUUGUGACUCAGGGAGGCUGUUUUAUACUAAAAUAUAUGUUCCAUGAGAUUACAGAAUAGAGUGUAAAUAAGGUUUUUAAAGAUUAGGGGUCUCCAUUGAACAUGCUUUUUUUUUCAGGACUAGG